AGAGUUUGAUCCUGGCUCAGGACGAACGCUGGCGGCGUGCCUAAUACAUGCAAGUCGUACGCUUCUUUUUCCACCGGAGCUUGCUCCACCGGAAAAAGAGGAGUGGCGAACGGGUGAGUAACACGUGGGUAACCUGCCCAUCAGAAGGGGAUAACACUUGGAAACAGGUGCUAAUACCGUAUAACAAUCGAAACCGCAUGGUUUUGAUUUGAAAGGCGCUUUCGGGUGUCGCUGAUGGAUGGACCCGCGGUGCAUUAGCUAGUUGGUGAGGUAACGGCUCACCAAGGCCACGAUGCAUAGCCGACCUGAGAGGGUGAUCGGCCACAUUGGGACUGAGACACGGCCCAAACUCCUACGGGAGGCAGCAGUAGGGAAUCUUCGGCAAUGGACGAAAGUCUGACCGAGCAACGCCGCGUGAGUGAAGAAGGUUUUCGGAUCGUAAAACUCUGUUGUUAGAGAAGAACAAGGAUGAGAGUAACUGUUCAUCCCUUGACGGUAUCUAACCAGAAAGCCACGGCUAACUACGUGCCAGCAGCCGCGGUAAUACGUAGGUGGCAAGCGUUGUCCGGAUUUAUUGGGCGUAAAGCGAGCGCAGGCGGUUUCUUAAGUCUGAUGUGAAAGCCCCCGGCUCAACCGGGGAGGGUCAUUGGAAACUGGGAGACUUGAGUGCAGAAGAGGAGAGUGGAAUUCCAUGUGUAGCGGUGAAAUGCGUAGAUAUAUGGAGGAACACCAGUGGCGAAGGCGGCUCUCUGGUCUGUAACUGACGCUGAGGCUCGAAAGCGUGGGGAGCAAACAGGAUUAGAUACCCUGGUAGUCCACGCCGUAAACGAUGAGUGCUAAGUG
rnacentral:rRNA from 1 species